UACUGUCGAAGGCAAUUCUUGGUGCAUCAUAUCUGAUAAAACCUAGAUGACAACUAGUCAUCAAGUACAUUUUUGAACCGUUCCUCCACUUAUAUUGUUAUUCUGUUGUGUUUUAAUGAAUUUAUUUAACCAUUUUUCCCAGCGAUGAUGUAAUCAAUAUGUAAAGUGAUGAAACAUUCCUUGACUUCUGGGAAUCAGAUGUACUAAUUCCCUUUACCAUCCUCUAUCUUACUGGUAUUGAGAUUCCUUCCUGUUUAUACGAGCUAUGGAAAUGGAUAGUUCAACUUUAUGCUGAACUAGUUCAUAAGCCCUUGCCAAGCACCGGCCUGUUUAUUAGUUUAUGUAAUUUUUGGGGCCAAAGACUGG
rnacentral:lncRNA from 1 species